rnacentral:rRNA from 1 species
CAGCCGCCGCGGUAAAACAGAGGGUGCGAGCGUUAAUCGGAUUUACUGGGCGUAAAGCGUGCGUAGGCGGCUUCUUAAGUCGGAUGUGAAAUCCCUGAGCUUAACUUAGGAAUUGCAUUCGAUACUGGGAAGCUAGAGUAUGGGAGAGGAUGGUAGAAUUCCAGGUGUAGCGGUGAAAUGCGUAGAGAUCUGGAGGAAUACCGAUGGCGAAGGCAGCCAUCUGGCCUAAUACUGACGCUGAGGUACGAAAGCAUGGGGAGCAAACAGGAUUAGAUACCCCAGUAGUCCCUGUCUCUUAUAC